rnacentral:rRNA from 1 species
GUGCCAGCAGCCGCGGUAAAACGUAGGAGGCGAGCGUUAUCCGGAGUUACUGGGCGUAAAGAGCGUGUAGGCGGGUAUGCAAGUUUGGCGUGAAAGCUCCCGGCUAAACUGGGAGAGUGCGCUGAAGACUGCGUAUCUAGAGGCGAGUAGAGGGACGUGGAAUUCCGGGUGUAGUGGUGAAAUGCGUAGAGAUCCGGAGGAACACCAGUGGCGAAGGCGACGUCCUGGGCUUGACCUGACGCUGAGACGCGACAGCACGGGGAGCGAACGGGAUUAGAUACCCUCGUAGUCC